UGGGAAUAUUGGGCAAUGGGGGCAACCCUGACCCAGCGACGCCGCGUGAGGGAAGAAGGCCUUAGGGUCGUAAACCUCUGUUGUGUGGGAAGAAGGAAGUGACGGUACCACACGAGGAAGUCCCGGCUAACUACGUGCCAGCAGCCGCGGUAAUACGUAGGGGACGAGCGUUGUCCGGAAUUACUGGGCGUAAAGGGCGCGUAGGCGGUCAUUUAAGUCAGCUGUGAAAUGGUCCGGCUCAACCGGAUCAUGCGGUUGAAACUGGAUGACUGGAGUGCUGGAGAGUCAAGUGGAAUUCCCAGUGUAGCGGUGAAAUGCGUAGAUAUUGGGAAGAACACCGGUGGCGAAGGCGACUUGCUGGCCAGCAACUGACGCUGAGGCGCGAAAGCCAGGGGAGCAAACGG
rnacentral:rRNA from 1 species